UACGGAGGGGGCUAGCGUUGUUCGGAAUUACUGGGCGUAAAGCGCACGUAGGCGGCUUUGUAAGUUAGAGGUGAAAGCCCAGGGCUUAACCCUGGAAUUGCCUUUAAGACUGCAUCGCUAGAAUCGUGGAGAGGUAAGUGGAAGUUCCGAGUGUAGAGGUGAAAUUCGUAGAUAUUCGGAAGAAACACCAGUGGCGAAGGCGGAC
rnacentral:rRNA from 1 species